UGCUAUCAGAGCCCUUUAAUUUCUGCGAACAGAAGCCUCUUUGGGAGAAGAAAGCUUGGGGGUGGGGAGUGACAUUGGAAUCAGUCUUUUUUUCCCCCCUUUGGCUGUUUUCUUCCAGUCAGCAAGUAGUGCUUGAAUUCUUCUGAUCUUUCCCAGCAUCUUAUUGAGAGUUGGCAAUUUGCACAACUCCAGGAGGUGCUGUCCUCACUUCCAGCCUGCCUGCAGCGAGCGUCUGCCCUGACUCACUUCCACAUGCAAAGCGGCAAAGCAGCUGAGAGGUCCGAUGCUGUCCCCUUUAUCUGCAAGGCUUCUUUGCCUAGACUUAAAAGCCAGCCAUAUUGACCGAAUGCAAGCGGGGACACAGCUAUUGUGGAGCAUAAACUCGUGUCCAAGGGACUUGUACCAGAUCCUAAAAAAGUGCAAGCUGUGACAAAAUGAGUAGAAGAGCCGGUUCAUGAAAAUGUCUACGUGUUGUCCUGAGCGUGAGCACCGCUUUGAGGCAUUCAUACAUUCAUUCCUCCACUGCUUCCCAAGCAUGUACUGUGGGCUCCACACUGGGAAUAUGCCUGCCUGGAGUUCAUGGUCAAGCAGGGGAGGCAAAUAAUACAAACAGGCAAUGACCUUGAAUGUCAGUAUGUGCUACAGGUGGGAGGUUCCUGAGAGACUUGCAAGUAGAUGUGAGUUUGCCGACACUGCUCAUCACUGGGAAAGCCAGAAGAGACUUGAGAAAAUCAUUCCGAUAAGCAGGAAGAAAGGGCGUGGACACACAAAACUGUCUGAAUGUCUCCUUUACCAGGAAGAUAUUGGGCAGUUUGCAGAGGCCUUUCCAGAGAAGACAGAAGAGGCAGUGUCAUGGGAAGAACGGACUUCCGGCCCUGGCUGUGCCUUCUCUAAGCUCUGAGAUUUCCAGACAGCCUCGCUAAGCUUCGGCUGGGGCAGUGACUGAAUGCACGGAGGCUGGAGCCAGACCAUGCUGGGCUCCCACACCCAGCUCGGCCGCUUCCCAGCCCGGUGCCCUUGGUUUUUCACGUGGCCCAUCCAGGGCUCCAGGUUUUUCCUCUGGAAAUGAGCACAAACCAGGGCUGUGUCCUCCAGGGGCGGUGAGGGUUAAACAAGCUCAUGUAUUUAACGGGCUUGGUCUGAAGGAAGCCCUCAAUAAAUGUUACCUGUUAUUAUCUAUCAAA